rnacentral:rRNA from 1 species
UACGAAGGGUCCAAGCGUUAUCCGGAUUUAUUGGGUUUAAAGGGUGCGUAGGCGGGUUGUUAAGUCAGUGGUGAAAUCUUGCAGCUUAACUGUAAAAUUGCCAUUGAUACUGACGAUCUUGAGUACACUUGAAGUGGGCGGAAUAUGUCAUGUAGAGGUGAAAUUCUUAGAGAUGACAUAGAACACCGAUUGCGAAGGCAGCUCACUAAAUUGUAACUGACGAUGAGGCACGAAAGCGUGGGGAUCAAACAGG